rnacentral:rRNA from 1 species
GCGGAGGAAAAGAAACCAACAGGGAUUGCCUUAGUAACGGCGAGUGAAGCGGCAAAAGCUCAAAUUUGAAAUCUGGCACCUUCGGUGUCCGAGUUGUAAUUUGAAGAAGGUAACUUUGGAGUUGGCUCUUGUCUAUGUUCCUUGGAACAGGACGUCACAGAGGGUGAGAAUCCCGUGCGAUGAGAUGCCCAAUUCUAUGUAAAGUGCUUUCGAAGAGUCGAGUUGUUUGGGAAUGCAGCUCUAAGUGGGUGGUAAAUUCCAUCUAAAGCUAAAUAUUGGCGAGAGACCGAUAGCGAACAAGUACAGUGAUGGAAAGAUGAAAAGAACUUUGAAAAGAGAGUGAAAAAGUACGUGAAAUUGUUGAAAGGGAAGGGCUUGAGAUCAGACUUGGUAUUUUGCGAUCCUUUCCUUCUUGGUUGGGUUCCUCGCAGCUUACUGGGCCAGCAUCGGUUUGGAUGGUAGGAUAAUGACUAAGGAAUGUGGCUCUACUUCGGUGGAGUGUUAUAGCCUUGGUUGAUACUGCCUGUCUAGACCGAGGACUGCGUCUUUUGACUAGGAUGUUGGCAUAAUGAUCUUAAGCCACCCGUCUUGAA